GCUCUCGUGAUGUAGCGGCUAACAUACCCGGCUGUCCACCGGGAAUUCGAGGGUUCGAGUCCCUUCGAGAGCGCC
rnacentral:tRNA from 1 species